UGGAGCCGGCCCCGGCGGGCGGCCGGGCGCGCUCACUCUGGCGGCGGGGUGGGUGCGCGGAGCUCCCUCCGGGCAGGUCUUAGGCGGAGAGAGGGAAUACCAGGUGGGGCGAGGUGGGCGGCCCGGGGGCGACUGACCCCCGGCCGGUCUGGUUAGUCGAUCCAGCCUGGCCGCCCACCUGGGUGUGGUCCUGCGCGCACCUCUGUGCGGUAGAUGGGGCAGGGGUGGGGCACUGAUGAUGUUGGGGCGGGGGCAGUGACCUAGCGGCCGGCGGGCCCUCGGGGUAGAAGGCAGGGCACGAAUGCCCAAGGGUCACAUUUGUUCGAAGGGACCCCGAGACCUCCGGGCAGCCCCCUUCCUUUCCUGGCCAGGAAACUGAGGCCCGGGGAGGGAGCCCAGAGGUCAUAAAGUCAGUGGUCCGGGAUCCCCGGACGCCACCCACGAGCGCUUUGCGCAAGACCCCUCACCCUGCCUCACCCCUCGCCCUGCCUCUGAAAAUGGGGGAGGGGUCUCUGUGGGGUUUGGUAACGAGGCGGUGGGAGUGAUGAGAGGGGAAGCGGCGGGAGGAGGAGGAGGUUGGCCCCCCGGAGGAGCAGGUGCUGAGGGGGCGAGAAGUGAUGGUCGGAGAGAAGAGGCUACGGGAGACAGGGCACUUCCCUUCCUUGCUUUGUGUCUAAUUUGAUUCAUAAAAUCACCAUAAUGAUAAAAUGUCCUAGAAAAUCGAUGGCUGGGCCAGGAUCGGUGUCAUACCUUCUGAGGUCAAGGAUGGCUGCGCAGAACAGGGGCUUCCGAGUUGCUGUUGCCCAAGGCUCCUUUGGUUGCCAGGGUAACAAAGGUCAACACUGGCAAGUUCAAGAGUGAAGCCUGUUUGGGAGAGCUGGGGCUCCAGCAGUUGGCAACAUACCCCCCUUUACAUGGGCAGUGACUCUUGUCCAGGCUUGCCUUCGGGCUGCCACUGCAUUGACUUCCCUUGUGUGAGGGUCCACAGAGGGAGGGGGAAGAGAGGACUUAUCCCCUUGCCAAGGGAACUCCCGGGCUCUCUCAGGCAGGGGUGAGGGAGGCUGGGCCCCUCCUCCGAUGUGGCUGCCCGCGGUGCCCUCCACUGCCUUCCCCACCUCGGAUAAUCAGCAGGGUCACAUGUUCGGCUACAGCCAGAUUGCUCCAUGACAACAGAGGAUGAAGGUAAACAGACUGACCCGUCUGGGAGGGCUCUCCUCCCACAAACCCAGGAGCCAGGAUUCUUUCCUGCAGGAGGAGGAACUGAUUCACAGCGAUGGGACGAUAGCCAAUAGAUCAAUGAAAAAAGAUGUUGUCACCAGCCAAGAGAUCACCAUUUACAUGGGAUCUGCUAUUGUGGGUAUUUAAUAAAUCUGAUUAUUGUAAA